GGUUAAGCGACUAAGCGUACACGGUGGAUGCCCCGGCAGUCAGAGGCGAUGAAGGACGUGCUAAUCUGCGAAAAGCGCCGGCGAGGUGAUAUGAACCUUUGACCCGGCGAUGUCCGAAUGGGGAAACCCAGUGUGUUUCGACACACUAUCGUUAACUGAAUACAUAGGUUAACGAGGCGAACCGGGGGAACUGAAACAUCUAAGUACCCCGAGGAAAAGAAAUCAACCGAGAUUCCCCCAGUAGCGGCGAGCGAACGGGGAGCAGCCCGGAGUCUGAAUCAGCUUGUGUGUUAGUGGAACGGUCUGGAAAGUCCGACGGUACAGGGUGAUAGUCCCGUACACGAAAAUGCACAGGUUGUGAACUCGAAGAGUAGGGCGGGACACGUGGUAUCCUGUCUGAAUAUGGGGGACCAUCCUCCAAGGCUAAAUACUCCUGACUGACCGAUAGUGAACCAGUACCGUGAGGGAAAGGCGAAAAGAACCCCGGCGAGGGGGAGUGAAAAAGAACCUGAAACCGUGUACGUACAAGCAGUGGGAGCACCUUCGGGUGUGACUGCGUACCUUUGUAUAAUGGGUCAGCGACUUAUAUUCUGUAGCAAGGUUAACCGUAUAGGGGAGCCGAAGGGAAACCGAGUCUUAACUGGGCGUUAAGUUGCAGGGUAUAGACCCGAAACCCGGUGAUCUAGCCAUGGGCAGGUUGAAGGUUGGGUAACACUAACUGGAGGACCGAACCGACUAAUGUUGAAAAAUUAGCGGAUGACCUGUGGCUGGGGGUGAAAGGCCAAUCAAACCGGGAGAUAGCUGGUUCUCCCCGAAAGCUAUUUAGGUAGCGCCUCGUGAACUCAUCUUCGGGGGUAGAGCACUGUUUCGGCUAGGGGGCCAUCCCGGCUUACCAACCCGAUGCAAACUACGAAUACCGAAGAAUGUUAUCACGGGAGACACACGGCGGGUGCUAACGUCCGUCGUGAAGAGGGAAACAACCCAGACCGCCAGCUAAGGUCCCAAAGUCAUGGUUAAGUGGGAAACGAUGUGGGAAGGCACAGACAGCCGGGAUGUUGGCUUAGAAGCAGCCAUCAUUUAAAGAAAGCGUAAUAGCUCACUGGUCGAGUCGGCCUGCGCGGAAGAUGUAACGGGGCUAAACCAUGCACCGAAGCUGCGGCAGCGACACUUAUGUGUUGUUGGGUAGGGGAGCGUUCUGUAAGCCGUUGAAGGUGUGCUGUGAGGCAUGCUGGAGGUAUCAGAAGUGCGAAUGCUGACAUAAGUAACGAUAAAGCGGGUGAAAAGCCCGCUCGCCGGAAGACCAAGGGUUCCUGUCCAACGUUAAUCGGGGCAGGGUGAGUCGACCCCUAAGGCGAGGCCGAAAGGCGUAGUCGAUGGGAAACAGGUUAAUAUUCCUGUACUUGGUGUUACUGCGAAGGGGGGGACGGAGAAGGCUAUGUCAGCCGGGCGACGGUUGUCCCGGUUUAAGCAUGUAGGCGGAGGUUCCGAGGUAAAUCCGGUACCUUGUUAACGCUGAGGUGUGAUGACGAGGCACUACGGUGCUGAAGUGAUAAAUGCCCUGCUUCCGAGGAAAAGCCUCUAAGCAUCAGGUAACACGAAAUCGUACCCCAAACCGACACAGGUGGUCAGGUAGAGAAUACCAAGGCGCUUGAGAGAACUCGGGUGAAGGAACUAGGCAAAAUGGUGCCGUAACUUCGGGAGAAGGCACGCUGAUAUGUAGGUGAAGCCCCUGCGGGCGGAGCUGAAAUCAGUCGAAGAUACCAGCUGGCUGCAACUGUUUAUUAAAAACACAGCACUGUGCAAACACGAAAGUGGACGUAUACGGUGUGACGCCUGCCCGGUGCCGGAAGGUUAAUUGAUGGGGUUAGCGGCAACGCGAAGCUCUUGAUCGAAGCCCCGGUAAACGGCGGCCGUAACUAUAACGGUCCUAAGGUAGCGAAAUUCCUUGUCGGGUAAGUUCCGACCUGCACGAAUGGCGUAAUGAUGGCCGGGCUGUCUCCACCCGAGACUCAGUGAAAUUGAACUCGCUGUGAAGAUGCAGUGUACCCGCGGCAAGACGGAAAGACCCCGUGAACCUUUACUAUAGCUUGACACUGAACACUGGUCCUUGAUGUGUAGGAUAGGUGGGAGGCUUUGAAGUGUGGACGCCAGUCUGCAUGGAGCCGUCCUUGAAAUACCACCCUUUAAUGGCUGGUGUUCUAACGUAGACCCGUGAUCCGGGUUGCGGACAGUGUCUGGUGGGUAGUUUGACUGGGGCGGUCUCCUCCCAAAGAGUAACGGAGGAGCACGAAGGUUGGCUAAUCCUCGGUCGGACAUCAGGAGGUUAGUGCAAUGGCAUAAGCCAGCUUGACUGCGAGCGUGACGGCGCGAGCAGGUGCGAAAGCAGGUCAUAGUGAUCCGGUGGUUCUGAAUGGAAGGGCCAUCGCUCAACGGAUAAAAGGUACUCCGGGGAUAACAGGCUGAUACCGCCCAAGAGUUCAUAUCGACGGCGGUGUUUGGCACCUCGAUGUCGGCUCAUCACAUCCUCGGGGCUGAAGUAGGUCCCAAGGGUAUGGCUGUUCGCCAUUUAAAGUGGUACGCGAGCUGGGUUUAGAACGUCGUGAGACAGUUCGGUCCCUAUCUGCCGUGGGCGCUGGAGAAUUGAGGGGGCUGCUCCUAGUACGAGAGGACCGGAGUGGACGCAUCACUGGUGUUCGGGUUGUCAUGCCAAUGGCACUGCCCGGUAGCUAAAUGCGGAAGAGAUAAGUGCUGAAAGCAUCUAAGCACGAAACUUGCCCCGAGAUGAGUUCUCCCUGAGACCUUGAGUCUCCUGAAGGAACGUUGAAGACGACGACGUUGAUAGGUCGGGUGUGUAAGCGCAGCGAUGCGUUGAGCUAACCGAUACUAAUGAACCGUGAGGCUUAACCUU
rnacentral:rRNA from 1 species